rnacentral:rRNA from 1 species
GUAUUAGAGGUCCUGCCUGCCCAGUGAAACUUUUAAACGGCCGCGGUAUUCUAACCGUGCAAAGGUAGCGUAAUCACUUGUCUUCUAAAUAGAGACCAGUAUGAACGGCUAAAUGAGGAUAAACCUGUCUCCUACAACCAAUCAGUGAAACUGAUCUUCCAGUUCAAAAACUGGGAUAUUACCAUAAGACGAGAAGACCCUGUGGAGCUUAAAAUUACCUACUACCAACCAUUAAAACUAGUACAAGAUUUUAAGUUGGGGCGACUUCGGAACAAAACAAAACUUCCGAGCACAGAACCAUAACUUCUAACAAAGGCAGACAUGCCAAAGCUAAAACAGACCCAGUCAUACUGACCAACGAACCAAGUUACCCCAGGGAUAACAGCGCUAUCUUCUUCAAGAGUUCAUAUCGACAAGAAGGUUUACGACCUCGAUGUUGGAUCAGGGCACCCAAAUGGUGCAACCGCUAUUAAAGGUUCGUUUGUUCAACGAUUAACAGCCCUACGUGAUCUGAGU